UACGGAGGGUGCAAGCAUUGAUCGGAAUUAUUGGGCGUAAAGGGCGCGUAGGCGGCCGAAAAAGUCAGAUGUGAAAUUCCGGGGCUCAACCCCGGAGCUGCAUUUGAAACUCUUCGGCUAGAGUACAGUUAGGGAAAAUGGAAUUCCACGUGUAGCGGUGAAAUGCGUAGAUAUGUGGAAGAACACCGGUGGUGAAGACGAUUUUCUGGGCUGUAACUGACGCUGAGGCGCGAAAGCUAGGGGAGCAAACAGG
rnacentral:rRNA from 1 species